rnacentral:tRNA from 1 species
GCCGAGGUGGCGGAACUGGUAUACGCGCUGGUCUCAAAAACCAGUAGCCUCACGGCUGUAAGGGUUCAACUCCCUUCCUCGGCA